UAGUUAGCAUCUAGUGCAACAAUGAUUUCAGGAGUAGAUUCCUUAGUGCCUCUCACUCAUGUAGCCCGUCCUCCCUCCCACACCCCCUCCAGUAACCAAGAGGUAAUGUUUAAAGCGAGUCUUGAACUCACAGUGAGUACCCGAUCGCCAGGCAAACAGAAGGUGGGGUGGAGGUAGGCUGGGGUGUUGAAAGCAUUUCUGACGGAAGAAGCAGCCUGGCCAAGGUGGGAGCUUUGGGGGGCGGGGACAUCAGUCAUGUUUGGGGAACCUCAGUCAGGAAACACAGAAUAAGUGGCCAUUAUAUUCCUGUCCCUGUUUUGUCUUCUGAGGAUAUGGUGAAUGAGUCCAGCAAGGCCCUGCCCUCAUUCGGCUUUGGAGAAGGGAAGGCAGACAAUAAAGGAAUAGACAAAAAAAAAAAAAAAAAAAAGUGAGCCCUAAGAAGGAAAUCAGCAGGGAGGUACUGUGGAGAGUAACCGGGGCAGAGGGGGUGGGAGAAGGGCUCAGACAUUUGCUGGGAUGGACAGACCUAGACUGAGGUCUGGCACAGCUGGACAGGGCUAUGAGGGCGGGGCACCUAGGGGAGGUGCCAAGCCCAGCAGUGUCCCUCUCUCUACAACAGAGCUCCCCAAAGCUGCAGGGGAGGACGCCUCUGGACGCAGAAUCUACAGGCAGAAGGGAGCUGCCCUCCUACCUGUUCCCAUCCUGUCUGCAAGCCUCCCCUGGAGAAACUCCCUUUACAAUGUUCAAGCCCCCCCCCCCCCCAACCCUUACUUUGCCUUCCAGAGGAGGAUCCCAGGCACUCAGACCUCCAGGGGAAAGAGCAGGCAGUGAGGGGGAUGGCUGGCACACCCCUGGAAGACGAGGCAGGCCGUCCACCUGACCAUGUGUCUCUGUAUGUGAGUGUGUCCUUCAGGGGAAGGAGGCAGGACAGCAAGAUGGCUCCCUGGGGACCAGUCCUAAACCUGUUUUGGAUUAUUUCCCUUGUCCUUCACUCUCCGGACACAAGGGGGCAGUGGAGCCUUGAGCUUGGCGGACUGCAAGGUCCAUGGGGCAGAGGACAGUCUUCCCUCAACCUUGUUUGCCUGAGGCCUGCUCUCCUGUUCAACCUGACCUCUGAAUGUGGGAAUCAGGAAGAGGAGGGCCACGGCCCGGCCGGAGGACCCUGAUUUUCACUGACCUUCACUCAACCAUAUGUAGGAUGAAUGCCCCCCUCCCCUUCCACAACAGAAACUAAAGCCCAGGUCCUUGUGCUGAAGGAUCAGCCCAUUAGUAGCUUGGACAAAGAGCAAGGGAGAGGCGCCCUAGCUGGCUGCUGGAGUGGAAUUCUUCUGAGCCCUCUCUAUUGUAGUGAAAAUCUCCCCAAAUUUCAUGAGGCAGGGGCAGGAGGGUCAAGUGCAGUGGAUAGGGCCCAGCAAGUCCAUCAGAUCCACUCGACAGCUAUUAAUGCCAAUGCAUGUGUCAGGUCUCAUGCUGGUGCUAAGGAAACAAAGGAGAACUGGCUUCAGCUCUUCCAAAAAGUUCACAGUCAGGUGGGCAAAUGGCCACUGCCACACGGAGUGGUUUGUUCCGCACAAGAGCAGGACAGGUACUGGGGAACACAGAGGAGGUGCGUUAACCUAGAUGUGGGGUGGGGCGAGGGAGGUCACAGGAGGCCUCCUGGAAGCAAUACCCAGGUUGAGUCUUAAGGAUAGGAGGGUUUAGCCAAGCAAAGGGCUUUUUUAGGCAAGGGGAAAACAUGAGCAAGAGAUCAAAGUCAAGAAACAACACGGGAGGGAGAUUAAAAGACAUUCCAGUGUGUCUGAAAAAUUUCCAACGCAACACCCUUUAAGGUUGCAACCAUUUUAAUGGCACACGCUCUGUGGUCUGGCUGUCGCCCAACUCUCCAGCCAGUAGAAAGGGCUUUCUGAACAGUUUUGUACAUUCAGACAGAAGCUUCAGAGAAUUGAGUUUUUCCAGGCUAGGACCUAUAGGAUUGUGAGAAACUGUAUGCUGGGGGAAAGACUUGAUAGCAGGGCAAUUAGUUUUGGGGUGGGCUUUUUCUUUUGGGACUUUCUACUACAUGUUGCCUUAACAAGUGACGAGGUGCAUUUAAGAGGAAUUCAGAGGUUAAGCCUGUAAGCAAAUAACAAACGCAGUUUCACAAACAAAAACCAUAAGGCUACGUACUGCUUAACUAGGUUACGUAAAAAUUAGAUUGCUGAUUGAUGAUAGACCCGUAGCCAAAGUGAUCAGGCAGACAGACUGGAAGAAAUCUUUGCAGUGGAUAAAACCAACACCUUCUAGAAUAUACAAAAAACAGCCAAGUCAAAAUAUACAAAUUUGGACUAGGAGGAAGUCCAAAGAAAAAAAAAGGAGUGAGGGUGUGAUUAGGAAAUUUGUAGAAGAGGAAUCUCCAAAGUUAGCAAACAUUUUGUGGCAGAUUGUGUAACUCUUCACUGAUUUCUGUGUCUUCUCUUCUCUGGCACACGGCAAGACUCCAUUUCUUGGGUCCUUUGCCUCAGGCUGUGGCAUGGGGUUCUGGCCCUAGGAAUGUGAACGCAUCUCAUGCCUACUCCAAGGGCUGGAUGCAGAGAAUCCAGUGGAGACCUCUGGCCCCUAGGAAAUGAGACAGCCGCACUGUAGAAGUCUGACCGCCUGGAGCUGUAUCCCUCCCCGGACUCCCUCCACACUGGACUGUGGAGUGAACAGAGAUGUAUCAGCAUUUACUUUGUGAAGCCACUGAGAUGUGUGGGUUGUUACAUCAAUGAACUUACCUCACCGAUGUGCACACUUAGAUGAGCUCCAAUUGGUUAGAGAAAGGUGAAAUUUAAAAAAUUAUAAGGGCACCUGCCUGGCUCAGUGGUAGAGCAUGUGACUCGAUCUCAGGGUGGUGCAUUCAAGCCCCACAUUAGGCAUGGAGCCUACUUAAAAAAAAUUGUGUAACUUCACGUAUUUUCAUUGGAUUUGCAAAAACUGGUAAGGUAGAUCAUUUCAAGAAUUUUGGUAGGGGUUAGAGGUGUGUUUGGGUGUGUUGGUGAUUACAGGAACUCCCAUGUACUGCUGCUGGGGAUGUAGACUGGUAUAGGCUUGUCGGGGGGUGGGGAGGACCCUGGUGGUUCUCACUUAAAUUAAAUAUUUAAUUGGCUUGUGA